rnacentral:rRNA from 1 species
GGAAGGGGGGGAUCGCAAGACCUCUCGCUAUUGGAGCGGCCGACAUCAGAUUAGGUAGUUGGUGGGGUAAAAGCCUACCAAGCCUUCGAUCUGUAGCUGGUCUGAGAGGACGACCAGCCACACUGGAACUGAGACACGGUCCAGACUCCUACGGGAGGCAGCAGUGGGGAAUUUUGGACAAUGGGCGCAAGCCUGAUCCAGCCAUGCCGCGUGAGUGAAGAAGGCCUUCGGGUUGUAAAGCUCUUUCGGCCGGGAAGAAAUCGCACGGGUUAAUACCCUGUGUGGAUGACGGUACCGGAAUAAGAAGCACCGGCUAACUACGUG